CCUACGGGGUGCUGCAGUGGGGAAUAUUGGACAAUGGGCGAAAGCCUGAUCCAGCCAUGCCGCGUGUGUGAAGAAGGCCUUCGGGUUGUAAAGCACUUUCAGUGGGGAAGAAAGCCUUGGGGCUAAUACCCUCGAGGAAGGACAUCACCCACAGAAGAAGCACCGGCUAACUCCGUGCCAGCAGCCGCGGUAAUACGGAGGGUGCGAGCGUUAAUCGGAAUUACUGGGCGUAAAGCGCGCGUAGGCGGUCUGAUAAGCCGGUUGUGAAAGCCCCGGGCUCAACCUGGGAACGGCAUCCGGAACUGUCAGGCUAGAGUGCAGGAGAGGAAGGUAGAAUUCCCGGUGUAGCGGUGAAAUGCGUAGAGAUCGGGAGGAAUACCAGUGGCGAAGGCGGCCUUCUGGACUGACACUGACGCUGAGGUGCGAAAGCGUGGGUAGCAAACAGGAUUAGAUCCCCGAGUAGUC
rnacentral:rRNA from 1 species